rnacentral:rRNA from 1 species
UGGGGAAUUUUGGACAAUGGGCGAAAGCCUGAUCCAGCAAUGCCGCGUGUGUGAAGAAGGCCUUCGGGUUGUAAAGCACUUUUGUCCGGAAAGAAAUCCUUGGCUCUAAUACAGUCGGGGGAUGACGGUACCGGAAGAAUAAGCACCGGCUAACUACGUGCCAGCAGCCGCGGUAAUACGUAGGGUGCAAGCGUUAAUCGGAAUUACUGGGCGUAAAGCGUGCGCAGGCGGUUUGCUAAGACCGAUGUGAAAUCCCCGGGCUCAACCUGGGAACUGCAUUGGUGACUGGCAGGCUAGAGUAUGGCAGAGGGGGGUAGAAUUCCACGUGUAGCAGUGAAAUGCGUAGAGAUGUGGAGGAAUACCGAUGGCGAAGGCAGCCCCCUGGGCCAAUACUGACGCUCAUGCACGAAAGCGUGGGGAGCAAACAGGAUUAGAUACCCUGGUAGUCCACGCCCUAAAACGAUGUCAACUAGUUGUUGGGGAUUCAUUUCCUUAGUAACGUAGCUAACGCGUGAAGUUGACCGCCUGGGGAGUACGGUCGCAAGAUUAAAACUCAAAUGAAUUGACGGGGUCAUAGCUGUUUCC